UACGUAGGGACCAAGCGUUGUUCGGAUUUACUGGGCGUAAAGGGCGCGUAGGCGGCAAUUCAAGUCAGCUGUGAAAUCUCCGGGCUUAACUCGGAACGGUCAGCUGAUACUGCUUUGCUAGAGUACAGAAGGGGCAAUCGGAAUUCUUGGUGUAGCGGUGAAAUGCGUAGAUAUCAAGAGGAACACCUGAGGUGAAGACGGGUUGCUGGGCUGAUACUGACGCUGAGGCGCGAAAGCUAGGGUAGCAAACGGG
rnacentral:rRNA from 1 species